rnacentral:rRNA from 1 species
UACGGAGGGUGCAAGCGUUGCUCGGAAUUAUUGGGCGUAAAGGGGAGGUAGGUGGUCUCGUUUGUCCGAGGUGAAAUCCCUAGGCUUAACCUAGGACGUGCCUCGGAAACGGCGAGACUGGAGUACUGGAGAGGCUAGCGGAAUACCCGGUGUAGCGGUGAAAUGCGUAGAGAUCGGGUGGAACACCAGAGGCGAAGGCGGCUAGCUGGACAGUUACUGACACUCAACUCCGAAAGCGUGGGGAGCAAACAGG